GACGAACGCUGGCGGCGUGCUUAACACAUGCAAGUCGAACGGAAAGGCUCCAGCUUGCUGGAGUACUCGAGUGGCGAACGGGUGAGUAACACGUGGGUAAUCUGCCCUGCACUCUGGGAUAACCCUGGGAAACUGGUUCUAAUACUGGAUAUGACCUUUCUCCUGAUGGGGUUUUGUGGAAAUUUUGUCGGUGUAGGAUGGGUCCGCGGCCUAUCAGCUUGUUGGUGGGGUGAUGGCAUACCAAGGCGAAGCCGGGUAGCCGGCCUGAGAGGGUGAACGGCCACCUUGGGCCUGAGAUACGGCCCAGACUCCUACGGGAGGCAGCAGUGGGGAAUAUUGCACAAUGGGCGGAAGCCUGAUGCAGCGACGCCGCGUGAGGGAUGACGGCCUUCGGGUUGUAAACCUCUUUCAGCAGGGACGAAGCGUAAGUGACGGUACCUGCAGAAGAAGCACCGGCUAACUACGUG
rnacentral:rRNA from 1 species